GCAGUAGCCGCGGUAAUACAGAGGGUGCGAGCGUUAAUCGGAUUUACUGGGCGUAAAGCGUGCGUAGGCGGCUAAUUGAGUCGGAUGUGAAAUCCCCGAGCUUAACUUGGGAAUUGCAUUCGAUACUGGUUAGCUAGAGUGUGGGAGAGGAUGGUAGAAUUCCAGGUGUAGCGGUGAAAUGCGUAGAGAUCUGGAGGAAUACCGAUGGCGAAGGCAGCCAUCUGGCCUAAUACUGACGCUGAGGUACGAAAGCAUGGGGAGCAAACAGGAUUAGAUACCCCUGUAGUCCCUGUCUCUUAUAC
rnacentral:rRNA from 1 species